rnacentral:rRNA from 1 species
UAACGCGNGGGUAACCNGCCUCAUANAGGGGGAUAACAGUUGNAAACGACNGCUAAUACCGCANAAGCGCACAGGAUCGCAUGGUCCGNUGUGAAAAACUCCGGUGGUAUGAGAUGGACCCGCGUCUGAUUAGCUAGUUGGCNGGGUAACGGCCUACCAAANCGACGAUCRGUAGCCGACCUGAGAGGGUGACCGGCCACAUUGGGACUGAGACACGGCCCAAACUCCUACGGGAGGCAGCAGUGGGGAAUAUUGCACAAUGGGGGAAACCCUGAUGCAGCGACGCCGCGUGAGCGAAGAAGUAUUUCGGUAUGUAAAGCUCUAUCAGCAGGGAAGAAGAAUGACGGUACCUGACUAANAAGCACCGGCUAAAUACGUGCCAGCAGCCGCGGUAAUACGUAUGGUGNAGGCGUUAUCCGGAUUUACUGGGUGNAAAGGGAGCGCANGCGGUGNGNNNAGUCUGAUGUGAAAGCCCGGGGCUCAACCCCGGUACUGCAUUGGAAACUGUCGUACUAUNGUGUCNGAGGGGUAAGUGGAAUUCCUAGUGUAGCGGUGAAAUGCGUANAUAUUAGGANGAACACCANUGGCGAANGCGGCUUANUGGACGAUAACUGANGCUGAAGCUCGAAAGCGUGGGGAGCAAAANGAUUAGAUACCCUGGUANNCCACGCCNGAAACGAUGAUACUAGUGU